rnacentral:rRNA from 1 species
AUGCCCGCGCCGGCGGCGCUAGCCCUCGCGGCGGCCCUGCUGCUCGCCGCCGCGUCCAUCUGCGCGGAGGCCGUGUGGCUCGACAUGCCGCAGACCGGGACCAAGUGCGUGUCGGAGGAGAUCCAGGCCAACGUGGUGGUGCUCGCCGACUACGCCCUCAUGUACGAGUCCCACCCCUCCGCCCACCCCACCAUCGCCGUCAAGGUUACUUCACCAUAUGGGUACACCUUACAUGAAAGUGGAAACAUUACAGUUGGUCAAUUUGCAUUCACAACCUCGGAAGCUGGAAACUUCCUUGCCUGCUUCUGGAUAGAUAGUGCAGAGAAAGGAUCAGGCGUAUCUGUAAAUCUUGAUUGGAAGACUGGAAUUGCAACAAAGGAUUGGGAUGCUAUCGCUAAGAAGGAAAAAAUAGAGGGCGUAGAACUAGAGCUUAGGAAGCUUGAAGUGGCUGUACAGUCGAUUCAUCAGAACAUGGUAUACCUCAAAGCAAGGGAAGCGGAGAUGAGGGAGGUGAGCGAGAAAACAAACGGCAGGGUUGCUUGGUUCAGCAUCAUGUCGCUGGGCGUCUGCGUCGUGGUGUCGGUUUUGCAGUUGUGGCACCUUCAAGGGUACUUCAGGAAAAAGAAGCUCAUCUAG